AUGCCUCCGCAUCGGCCAGUCGAGUUUGUUAUCGAUCUUGAGCCCGGCACUGAACCCGUUUGCAAGCGUCCUUACAAGCUUGGACCCAAGGAGCUGAAGGAAUUGAAGAAACAACUCGAUGAACAAGAGCGUCUGGGUUUGAUCAGACCGAGUUCAUCUCCAUGGGGUUGUGGAGUUUUUUUUGUCCAGAAGAAGGAUGACACGGACCGACUUUGUGUUGAUUACCGUCCAUUGAACAAGAAGACAAUCAAGAACAAGUAUCCACUUCCCAACAUCAAUGAGCUUUUCGAGCAACUCAAAGGUGCUAAAGUAUUCUCCAAGCUUGACCUUCGUAUGGGUUAUCAUCAGAUUCACAUUCGUGAACAAGAUAUUCCCAAGACAGCAUUCAGAACAAGCUAUGGUUCUUAUGAAUAUACUGUCAUGUCUUUCGGCCUUGUCAAUGCUCCUCCAACGUUCUCUCGCAUGAUGAACUUUAUCUUCAACCCCUACACAAAUGAAUUCGUCUUGGUGUAUCUCGAUGAUAUCUUGGUCUUCUCCAAGAAUAAGAAGGAUCAUGCCAAACAUUUGUGA
rnacentral:rRNA from 1 species